ACCCGACUGCAGCAUCUUCAUGCUGCGAGAGACGAUGCACAUGUACCACACUCGCAUACCUGCCCUAUCCCAUGCUAGCCAUCCAGUCGUCUCGCAUCCAUACCAUCUCAGUCUCCCUGCACGUCAGGAAUACUAUUCGACAUUUGGUGGCUGUCCAUGAAGUGAGGAUUUGCUCCCUGGCGCGUAUCUUGCGCCAGCUCCUACAGCCACACCAUUGACGACCCAGAUAUAAUCAGAUUAUUACCCUCUUUGCUUAACAUCAUUUGGUUCUGGGGGCUUUUCUAAGCAUCCUCAUAUUCGCCUCUCUGGAUAUUCCUUUGAAUAAAUGGGAAGCUUGCUUUCUUGAACGAAGUAGCGGGAUCUCGAGCUUUGUCGUGUCCAACCAAUCCUGUUUCAAACCCGUAAAAUUAUUGCAAGGACCCUACCUAGGUAUCUAACCAUCUGCUCGUCCACGUAUCCCCAUGUUCAACUGUUAUCCUCCCUGGAAAACACAUCAUCGUCUAUCUAUUUUAUUUUCGUUUGUUUUCGGUUAUGUCAAGUAGAUGAGGCCAUCUCACCUACCAAUUAGAGCAUUCUGCUAUCACUAUUUUUUGCCAGCCUGGAUGCUUUGACAAUAUUUAAACCUUUUUUUCUUCUCCUCAUUUUUUUUCCAAUAUCAAUCUUCCCCAAUUGCAGCAGUCUCACCAUUUACUCGUUACCGGUGAAUGAUUUUUAGAGGGGAAGGCUUCACUGCAACCAAACCAUAAAC
rnacentral:sRNA from 1 species